rnacentral:rRNA from 1 species
AUACGUAGGGAGCGAGCGUUGUCCGGAAUUACUGGGUGUAAAGGGAGCGUAGGCGGGAGUGCAAGUCAGAUGUGAAAUACAUGGGCUCAACCCAUGGGCUGCAUUUGAAACUGCAUUUCUUGAGUGAAGUAGAGGUAAGCGGAAUUCCUGGUGUAGCGGUGGAAUGCGUAGAUAUCAGGAGGAACACCGGUGGCGAAGGCGGCUUACUGGGCUUUUACUGACGCUGAGGCUCGAAAGCGUGGGGAGCAAACAGGAUUAGAUACCCUGGUAGUCCACGCUGUAAACGAUGAUUACUAGGUGUGGGGGGACUGACCCCUUCCGUGCCGCAGUUAACACAAUAAGUAAUCCACCUGGGGAGUACGGCCGCAAGGUUGAAACUCAAAUGAAUCGACGGGG